rnacentral:rRNA from 1 species
UACGGAGGGGGCUAGCGUUGUUCGGAAUUACUGGGCGUAAAGCGCGCGUAGGCGGCUUUGUAAGUUAGAGGUGAAAGCCCGGAGCUUAACUCCGGAACUGCCUUUAAGACUGCAUCGCUAGAAUUGUGGAGAGGUGAGUGGAAUUCCGAGUGUAGAGGUGAAAUUCGUAGAUAUUCGGAAGAACACCAGUGGCGAAGGCGACUCACUGGACACAUAUUGACGCUGAGGCUCGAAAGCAUGGGGAGCAAACAGG